rnacentral:tRNA from 1 species
UCCCUGGUGCUCCAGUGGUUAGGACUCGGCGCUUUCACUGCUGUGGCCUGGGUUCAAUCCCUGGUCAGGGCA